CCCUUAGAUGUUCUGGGCCGCACGCGUGCUACACUGAGUGGAUCAGCGGGUCAGGUUGCGCGAAAGCGUUUCCUAAUCUUUAAAUCCGCUCGUGAUGGGGAUUGACGGUUGCAAUUUUCUGUCAUGAACGAGGAAUACCUUGUAAGCGCGGGUCAUCAUCCCGCGCUGAAUACGUCCCUGCCCUUUGUACACACCGCCCGUCGCUCCUACCGAUUGAGUGGUCCGGUGAGGCUUUGGGAUCUGAGCGGAAGAGCGUUUCGCUGUUUCUGCUCGGAAAACUCAGUCGAACCUUAUCAUUUAGAGGAAGGAGAAGUCGUAACA
rnacentral:rRNA from 1 species